rnacentral:lncRNA from 1 species
CUCCAAAACAACAAAGGCUUGAUUAAUCUCCUCUUAAAAAAGCAGACUUUUAGAUGUAAUCACGGCAGGCGGCAGUUCAGAGCAGAAGCUGUGCCAAUUGCACGUGAGGUCCUGCCUCUCUGACUACUGCGACUCAUAUCCAAGGUAAGGUCCCUAAAAUACGUGCCCAACAGCAAAUAUUGUGAAUCCCUCCUCCUUUUUCCUUUCCCCUGCAUUGUUUGUAGUCCUCUGUGGC